GUGUUUUGUAGCAGGGUUUUUAAAAGCUAUAUACUUAAACUGUGUGGUUGGUUAAUUAGCUUUAACUGAAUGAUUUCUGCAGAGGAGGAAAAAAGAUCUGUAUAGAUUCCAGCUGAAGUUUUCUACAAGCAAGUAGAGGGAAGGUGUUGUUGCAGUACAUUUGAAUCAGUAGCCUGUAUAGAUUUUGGGGAGUACUGGUGAUUUUACUCAUGGCUGUCCGAAGAUAUCAGAGAGACAAGGGAAAUUGGUAAAGAAGUCCAUUCUAACCAGGCACAAUUCAAUGUCUACAGAAGUCAGUGAUUUGGACCAAGCCCUCUAACUGUUGUCAGGACGUCCAUAAUAUCUGGAUGGAAGUUCUUCAUGUUUUGUUUACAACCUGAAGUUAAAUAAUUAAUCAUUUCACCAGAGAUGUAUUUUCUUCAUACAGUACUACUUUCACAGUAUCAGUAACUUAGCAAAAUUCAGAGUAAAAUGUGAACAAAACACUUAUUUAGUACAUCAAAAGCAAGUUACCCUUGGACCCAUACAAAAAAAAAAGUAUUCAAGCUCUUUCCUAUAAACAACCUGUAAAAUGAGUUCAGUAAAAUAGAAUCAGUUCAAAUUUGUCUUGAAGGUUUAAAUUAAACCAAGCCAUUGCUGAAAUAUAAACACGUAGCUAAAUCCAAAUCUAGUACAAUUAGCAGAGGAAAAAAACUUCCAUACAGUUCAAGGUAAGGUUGCUACUAUGCAAAAAUGCCAGUGAAUAAAUCAGCAUAACUCUACUAAAGCUAUUGGAGGUACAAUGAUUUACACCAACUGAGUGUCUAGCCCUUGGAAAUAAGCAAGUAGGGGAAAAUAGGAAAAUAUACACAGCUCAUACAAUCACUUAAAUAAAUGUCCAUAUAAUAAAUAUCACAUUGUAGUUCUAAGGUGGUAAUAAUUCUAAUAAUUUAUGUGAUAUCCAGCACGAGGGGUAAGUCUGGACUAAUAGUGCAAAAACAUUUCCAUGUUUUUGAAGUUUGCAAAUUAUCUUUCUUUACAUGUUUACACCUCCUUUGUGUUUGCUCCCCAUGAGUAUUUUAGUGAAUAAGUUUACUGAACAGACAGAAAUGGCAAAUGUACAUCUACAUUAUAGGGCUAGUAGCUGAAAACAAAUUUUGAAUUAAUAAACGUGAGUACUGUACUUGUAUGAAAAACGUGAUUCUAAUCCACUGAGGGAAUGGGAAUAUACUACAUGACCAGUAUUUUCAAUCAAAACUAACCUACAUCAUGCAAAUUACAAAUCUCAAACACUCAGACCUAAAUAAAAGACCAGAUUUUCAGAGAUGCUGAGU